GCAAACUUGGUCAUUUAGAGGAAGUAAAAGUCGUAACAAGGUUUCCGUAGGUGAACCUGCGGAAGGAUCAUCACUGAUUCGUGGGGUCUGUGUUCCUGUGUGUGCUGCGUGUAUAACGCGCGCACAUAGCGAGCCGCCCCCAAACCAAUCUUGUGCACCGUUUUAUUGGUCAAAGGAUGACGUGUGGUGGUUGUGUAUGUUGGUGGGUGGGAGUGCGUGCGUGCGCGCGCGCUGCCCCCACCGACUGCACGCACCCCGUCGUUCUAAAUUUAUACAAUAAUCUCUUGGUGUUAACUUUGUCUAAUAUGCGUUACUUGAAAUAACAUAUACAACUUUUAACAAUGGAUCUCUUGGCUCUCGCAUCGAUGAAGAACGCAGC
rnacentral:misc_RNA from 1 species